UUUAUCAUCAAAUCAUUUUUAUUAUAUUAUUAUUAUUAAUUAAUAAGUAAGAAGAAGAAUCAAUCGUCUCCACUCUUC
rnacentral:ribozyme from 1 species